GAAAGGUUGGACUCCUGCUGACCCCUCCUUGCUGUGUGCCCUCUCAGGUGGCGCUGCUGGAUACUGCUUCCUGCCCUGAGGAGGAAGGUGGGUAGCAGGUAGAGCCUAGGUGUGUAGGAGGGGGGAACUGCCUUACUCUGUGAUGAGUGCAUCAGUCCUCUGCCCAUACCCCUCAUCAACCCCACUCCUCGGCUGAAGUGCACCCCAGGCUGAAGAACUGCAGUGCUGUUGCGUUGCCCCUGUGGAGUAGGGAACAGGGAGACUCUUCUGGGAGCAUCUCCUGCUCCCCCCAGGCAGGAAGUUGCUGAGACCCAGCAUCUCAGCUCACUGGCUGGGGCUGGGAUGGCUUUUCUUGCAGAGUUCCCGGAGGCCCUAUGCCCCAGGGAGGAGGAAGAGGAGGAGGAAGAAUACAGGCAAAGGAGAUCUGUCACCUUCACACUGGGAAAUGAGAUACUGGGGCUGGGCCCAGAAAGUGAGUUUCAGAGCCCUGACGCCGAGGUCUACAUGCACUUCUUAAGGAGCCACUGCUGCUAUGAUGCCAUCCCCACCAGCUGCAAGCUUGUCGUCUUCGACAUCUCCCUGGAGAUCAAGAAAGCCUUUGUGGCACUGGUGGCCAAUGGGGUGCGCGCUGCCCCACUCUGGGAUAGCAAGACACAGAGCUUUGUGGGGAUGCUCACCAUCACCGACUUCAUCAACAUCCUACACCGUUACUACCGUUCACCCCUGGUUCAAAUCUACGAAGUGGAGGAGCACAAGAUUGAGACGUGGAGAGAGGUGUACCUGCAGGGCUCCUUCAAGCCAUUGGUCUACAUCUCCCCAAGCAAUAGCCUCUUCGAUGCUGUCUACUCCCUGAUCAAGCAUAAAAUCCACCGCCUGCCUGUCAUCGAGCCUGUCUCGGGCAAUGUCCUGCACAUCCUGACGCACAAGCGCAUCCUCAAGUUUCUCCACAUCUUUGGUUCUACCAUUCCCAAGCCACGCUUCCUGAAAAAAACAGUGCAGGAGCUGCGCAUUGGCACCUUUCGUGACCUGGCUGUCGUGCCUGAGACUGCCCCGAUCCACACUGCCUUGGAUAUCUUCGUGGAUCGCCGUGUCUCUGCCUUGCCCGUCAUCAAUGAUGCCGGGCAAGUGGUUGGCUUGUACUCCCGGUUUGAUGUCAUUCACCUGGCAGCUCAGAAGACCUACAACAACCUGGACAUCAGUGUGCGAGAGGCACUGCGGCAGCGCAGUAUCUGCCUGGAGGGGGUCAUCACCUGCUACCCCCAUGAGCACAUGGAGGACAUCAUUGACCGCUUUGCCAAGGAGCAGGUCCAUCGCCUGGUUCUGGUAGAUGAGAACCGGUACCCGCGGGGCAUUGUCUCCCUCUCUGACGUCCUCCAGGCCCUUGUGCUCACUCCUGCAGGUAUCGAUGCUCUUAACUCUUAGCCCACGGCGCUCCAUCUUUCUCCACUUGCACUCUCCAUUUCUCUCCACUUCAGGCAUCCAUCGGUCCUCACUCUGAAGACACCAGGAAGUGCCACUGUCUUGUCUGACUUGGGGGUCUCUUGCAUGGCCUGUGAGAAGGAGGUUUUGGCCUGAAGGCUCUCCGCAGGGAGGAUCUGCCUGUUCACCCCAGUCCUGGGGCUCGUCUUGAGUCCAGGGCCAGAUCCUGCCAGCCUUGGGGAGGCAGAAAGUGUGGAAAAGGGGGCCCAAGGGUGCCUCCUGCCAGUGAGCACACAGUGAUGCUUGAUGGGCACUGUGCUGGAGGAGCCAUUACAUGCCUGUGGCUGGGCACAGAGACCCACACAGCCCCAGAAGACCUGGUUACCCCACUCCCAUCCUGCUGCUGGAUUUGAGCAUUUCCACUGUUGCUCCCUCCUGGUGGACACAGUCCCACCAUCUGUACCCAGUGCCUGGUAGCACAGGCUGAGCUG